rnacentral:sRNA from 1 species
GUGACAACUGGGAAGAUUGGAGUUCUCUUCUUACCUGCAGAUUAGAUAGACCACAAGCAGCAGCAGUGCAGGCUUUCUCGACACUGCCCUACCGAUAUGUCUCAUUCUUGACUUGUUAGAGUCAGAGGAUAGUUCAGUCUCCAUGCCCAUUUAAUUCUUGGUGUGU